CCUCACGGGCCGACCCUCACAAAUUCUCAGUGGCUCAGAUCUACAUCGCAAGGGUUGGCCUCUCCAGUGCUCCACACCCUUUCCUGUUGGGUCCUCCUUCCUUGGCUCCUCGCCUCCCAAUAAUUCUAGCAUCGAUAGAUGAUCUUCAUCUUCACUAAGAUAAAGGGAACGGAUCAUGUGUGAGGACAUCGGCACCGUCGAGGGGAAAGGUGCUCCCGGACGACACCAAGGUGCGUGCUCGUGGUAUGGUGUCGUACCAGCCCAGUCCACACAGGGAAGACGGAGUACAACCCCGCUGUCGCUAGCUUCUGGUUAGAUCGAUGGAUCGGCGGCGACGGCGCUCGGCAAAACAUCACUGUUCAAGGAAGGGCUGCGAUCUACAUGAGCAAAUACAUGGUGUACCUGCAGAUGAAGAUGGCGCUAGCCAUCCUAUUCAGGAUUGCACUGAUUUUUCUGAAGACAUGUGAAGAAAUUAUCUCGCACCAAUCUCCUUUGAUGGUUACUUUUGUUGUUACAUUCUUCUUAAUGAUGGACAACUCUAACCUGCUAGCCACGUUAUGGUGAUACAAAUCUCCUUUGAUGGCCAUGGCUAAUACUGCUCGAUGGUGACAUUUACCACAUAUCGCGGAUGCGUUAGCUAGAGAUGGUUGUCACUGUUUCCAUGCUCAAGGCGAUCAACUUGGAGACUAUUUAAUUAAUGAUUUAUAUUUGCAGAAGCUGGAUGACACCAUACAUUACAACCUUUCUCCCAUAUUUGAAACUUGGAAAAGUCCGAAGUGGUUCCAGAGCGCGGAGAUACAUUUUAGUCGUCUUGGUAUGUUAGAAGAGGUACCAUGUUUAGAUCAAUGUUUUGGUUUAUCGCUUACGAGAGAUUUUGAAAUGCAUACACACAAAUGAUGCAAUUUCUAAGCCAUGUGCUCAUACUGAUAUGAUAAUAAGAUUCUUCCUUUAGUUAUGUUUUUGCUAUGUUGUCAUUCCUUUUGCUGAUUUGAGUAGUUUGGUUGACAUGUGAUUCUCGGGUGGUGUUGCCUGGGAUUAUGAUGUUAGUUCCUCAACUCAGCAUCAAGAGAAUUGAUUGUAACAUGUUGGUUUCAAAGUAUGUUCUGACCAAAAAUUUGAGUUGCUCUUCCAGAA